UUAAAAAAAAAAAAAAAAGAAAAAGCCGGAAUCCAUUGCGAUACUAAGUAUGAUGAUGGUCCUUUUCAUCAACCUGAGCGCAACCAGGAACCAUCUUCAAUCUUAAACGAAAGGCUAACGAGGACUAGGGCUUGAAAUGGAAGUGUGCUCCAGAUGUAACGUUAACCCUCUUUGAAAUUCUACAUAAGGAUAUGCCAUGGGUUGCUCAACAUCCUCUGUUCGCCAUCUACAAUUAAUAAGUUAAUUAUGAGGAUUAAUCAAAUUCUUUUGUAUAGAUAAAACAACUAAAGCAAAACCCACCUGAAAUUUUGUACAAGAUGGUGGAGGAAAAAUGCAACCUCAACCUUAGCUAGUUCAGAUCCAGGGCAGCAUCUAGAUCCUCCACCAAAAGGUGUAAAUUUCUUGCAUGUUUGAUCUUGACUCUGCAUUGCAUGUGCAAAGUGAACAACAUAGCCAUAAUUAAAACAUGGCAAUUAGGCCUACAUCUACACCUUUUCUGCUCAAUUAAUAUGCAAUUUUCUUGAAAACCUCUAGUGUAGUGAGCAUUUGAGCUACAUGCAACUGUGCAUAGCAACUAUAGAUGAUGAAACGAAACCAAUAGAAAGCAGUUAGCUUGUCCAAAUCAAAUAGGUCCACUCCAAAUGGUACAAGACAUUGUAAUUGUGAAAAUCAAAAGGAUGGUCCAAUUGUAGGGCAGGUCUUGCUAUUAGAUAUUCUUGUGGUUGAUGUAAUAAUUUAAUUAUUACCUCCCAUCUCCAAGGAUAAAACUGGAGGGCACUUGCAUGCAUAGAUGAAUCUAAAUGAACUGCAGUGAAAACAGGCAGAACCUUCCAACCAGAAGGAAUUAGGUAGCCUCUAAAUUUGACAUCUUUCAGAGCCUUUCGGUGCACAAAUUUUACAAUGUUGCCAUAUCUGAGUGCUUCAUUGAUGACAUUUUGAGUGAAUUCCAUCUUUUUAUAAUCUUCCCAGUUCAAAAACUCAUCAUCUUUUCCCUUGAUGCUUCUUAUUGCUUGAUGCUCCAGCUUUAGCUGCUCAAAUGCUGUUGGUGACUGACCUAGAAAAUGCACAGCCAUAGCCAUCAAGAGUGAGGUGGUUUCAUAUCCACCCAAAAGAGAGUCUAAAACAAAACUAACUUUUUCAUCUUCAGAUAAGGUAUCAACACCAAGAAGUAUCUCAAGGAAAUCACUAGUCCUUUUUCUAGAACUACUAGCAUUUCUUCUUCUUUCCUCUAUAAUUGCUUUGACAGUAGAUGAUAUCCUGCUUCUAGCCUGAACAGCUCUGGCAUAUGGAGUUCCUGGAAUAUAGACAGGGAGAGAGAUUAGUCCUCUCAUAAAAGUGAGAAAAUCUUCAAGAAUUUUUGUAGUCUCUGGCUCCUCUGGUGUCAAGCCUAGCACUUGCUUUACUAUUACAUUGAAUGUGAACUUUCUGGCCUCCUCGCAGAAAAUGACUUGCCGUUUAUCCUUCCAGGAGUUAAGUAUCUGAAUGGCAGUUCUCUCUAUGUCAUUAAGGAACUCAGGCUUUGAUUUGGUAAUAGUGACGAGAGAAAGAGCCACAUUUCUGAGUCUCUUGUGAGUAUCACCAACAGCUACAAGCAUAGAGACAUUUCCAAGAAUGCCAUGGAUAGGCUUUGGAUAACUGCACUGGAACAACUUCCCUUCAUUUUGAAGAAUGAAGUAGUUCAGCUCUUGGUCACAAGACACCACUGUUGGAGAGAAGAACAAAUGGGACUUGAACACUUUCCCAUACCUAGAGCAAUGGUCUUGAAGAAAUGCCCCAAGAGAAUUCGAAGGAUGAGGCUGCAAAAAACCAAGUGUUUCGCCUAGUAUUGGCCAUCCAAAAGACCCUUUGGGGACAUGGCCAUCCUUCAAGAACAUGGGCAAGAAAUGAUUCAAGAUGAGACCCAAUAAAGCACCAAUAAGACCAACCAAAACACCAAGCCAAAACCCACUAGCCAUGGACAAAAGGAUGAAGGUCAUUAUCUUGUAGUAAUUUCUUUCAAAAUUCCGUAGAAAGUAGUAGAUAGAAGAAAAGCUGAGAAAACGAGAGCUUUACAGGAAAAAAUUUGGCCUUGAAUUUCUAUAUAUAGAGCUGAGAAGGAAA
rnacentral:misc_RNA from 1 species